rnacentral:rRNA from 1 species
GAUGAACGCUGGCGAUAGGCUUAACACAUGCAAGUCGAGGGGCAGCAUGGUCUUAGCUUGCUAAGGCUGAUGGCGACCGGCGCACGGGUGCGUAACGCGUAGGCAACUUGCCUCACAGAGGGGGAUAACCAGUCGAGAGACGGACUAAUACUGCGUACACGCUCUGUUGGGCAUCCAAUGUAGAGGAAAUGAAAUUCGCUGUGAGAUAGGCAUGCGUCCCAUUCGCUAGUUGGUGGGGUGACGGCUCACCAAGGCGACGAUGGGGAGGGGAACUGAGAGGGUGGGCCCCCACACUGGUACUGGGACACGGACCAGGCUCCUACGGGAGGCAGCAGUGAGGAAUAUUGGUCAAUGGGCGAGAGCCUGAACCAGCCAAGUCGGGGGAAGGAUGACUGUCUUAUGGAUUGUAAACUUCUUUUAUACGGGAAGAACAAGAGUCACGUGUGGCUCCCUGCAGGUAGCGGAUGAAUAAGCACCGGCUAACUCCGUG